rnacentral:rRNA from 1 species
GUCUAUGGCCAUAGCACCCUGAAUGUGCCUGAUCUCAUCUGGUCUUGGAAGCUAAGCAGGGUCGGGCCUGAUUAGUACUUGGAUGGAAGACAGAUCUUCAGAAAAGACUGCUCAGAGACA